rnacentral:rRNA from 1 species
GAUGAACGCUGGCGGCGUGCCUAAUACAUGCAAGUCGAGCGAACAGACGAGGAGCUUGCUCCUCUGACGUUAGCGGCGGACGGGUGAGUAACACGUGGAUAACCUACCUAUAAGACUGGGAUAACUUCGGGAAACCGGAGCUAAUACCGGAUAAUAUAUUGAACCGCAUGGUUCAAUAGUGAAAGACGGUUUUGCUGUCACUUAUAGAUGGAUCCGCGCCGCAUUAGCUAGUUGGUAAGGUAACGGCUUACCAAGGCAACGAUGCGUAGCCGACCUGAGAGGGUGGUUCGGCCACCUGGGAACGGAGCCAGGGUCCAGACUCCAAGGGAAGGCGGCGUAGGGAAACUUUCGGCAUGGGGCGAAAGCUUGAGGGAGAACGCCGCGUGAGUGAUGAAGGUCUUCGGAUCGUAAAACUCUGUUAUUAGGGAAGAACAAAUGUGUAAGUAACUAUGCACGUCUUGACGGUACCUAAUCAGAAAGCCACGGCUAACUACGUG